UACGUAGGGGGCAAGCGUUGUCCGGAUUUAUUGGGCGUAAAGAGCGUGUAGGCGGCCAGACAGGUCCGUUGUGAAAACUCGAGGCUCAACCUCGAGAUGUCGAUGGAAACCGUCUGGCUAGAGUCCGGAAGAGGAGUGUGGAAUUCCUGGUGUAGCGGUGGAAAUGCGCAGAUAUCAGGAAGAACACCUAUGGCGAAGGCAGCACUCGUGGGACGGUACUGA
rnacentral:rRNA from 1 species